rnacentral:rRNA from 1 species
UACGUAGGUGGCGAGCGUUGUCCGGAUUUACUGGGUGUAAAGGGAGCGUAGACGGUAAAGCAAGUCUGAAGUGAAAUGCCAGUGCUCAACACUGGAACUGCUUUGGAAACUGUUUGGCUGGAGUGCAGGAGAGGUAAGUGGAAUUCCUAGUGUAGCGGUGAAAUGCGUAGAUAUAUGGAGGAACACCGGUGGCGAAAGCGGCUCUCUGGCCUGUAACUGACACUGAGGCUCGAAAGCGUGGGGAGCAAACAGG